rnacentral:rRNA from 1 species
GCCAAACAGCUAGCUUAAAAACUAAUAUAACCCAACAAUAUUAAUAACAAAACAUGACCCAACAUUAUUAACUAAACCAUUUUUUUACCUGAGUAUGGGAGACAGAAAAGGUUAAACCCAAAGCAAUAGAAAAAGUACCGCAAGGGAAAGCUGAAAGAGAAAUGAAAUAAUUCAUGUAAGCGCCAAGAAACAAAGACUAAACCUUGUACCUUUUGCAUCAUGAUUUAGCCAGCACCCUCAAGCGAAGAGCCCUAUAGUUUGAAACCCCGAAACCAGGUGAGCUACCCCGAGACAGCCUAUUUAAACUUAGGGCUAACCCGUCUCUGUGGCAAAAGAGUGGGAAGAGCUCCGGGUAGAAGUGACAGACCUACCGAACCUGGUGAUAGCUGGUUGCCUGAGAAAUGGAUAAAAGUUCAGCCUCGUACGCCCCUAGUCAAAUAAAUAUAAUAUUAAGACACAGGGAAAUAUACGAGAGUUAGUUAAAGGGGGUACAGCCCCUCUAACAAAGGAUACAACCUUCACAGGUGGAUAAAGAUCACAAUAUACAAAAUAUACUGUUUUAGUGGGCCUAAAAGCAGCCAUCUAAACAGAAAGCGUUAAAGCUCAGACAGAAUACAAUUUAUUAUACUGAUAAUAAAUCUUACUCCCCUAAAAAUAUCAGGCUAACCCAUGCACCCAUGGAAGAAAUUAUGCUAAAAUGAGUAACAAGAAGACCCGCUCUUCUCCAAGCACAAGUGUAAGCUAGAUCGGACUAACCACUGGAAAUUAACGAACCCAACCCAAGAGAGUAUUGUGAAUAACAAAAAAGCCAAGAAAAACCCACAAUUAAUAUAAUCGUUAACCCCACACUGGAGUGCUAUUUUAAAGGAAAGACUAAAAGAAGGGAAAGGAACUCGGCAAACACAAGCCUCGCCUGUUUACCAAAAACAUCGCCUCCUGCAACUAAAUUGAGUAUAGGAGGUCCAGCCUGCCCAGUGACUACGGGUUCAACGGCCGCGGUAUUUUGACCGUGCAAAGGUAGCGCAAUCACUUGUCUUUUAAAUAGAGACCUGUAUGAAUGGCCAAACGAGGGCUUAACUGUCUCCCCCUUCCAGUCAGUGAAAUUGAUCUAUCCGUGCAGAAGCGGGUAUAAACAUACAAGACGAGAAGACCCUUUGGAGCUUAAGGUACAAAAUCCAACCACGUCAAGCAACUUAACAAAAAGCAAGAACUUAAUGGAAAAUGGAAUUUUACCUUCGGUUGGGGCGACCGCGGAGGAAAAACAAGCCUCCGAGUGGAAUGGGCUAAAUCCCUAAAGCCAAGAGAAACAUCUCUAAGCCGCAGAACAUCUGACCAAAAAUGAUCCGACUAAUAAAGUCGAUCAACGAACCAAGUUACCCUAGGGAUAACAGCGCAAUCCUCUCCCAGAGUCCAUAUCGACGAGGGGGUUUACGACCUCGAUGUUGGAUCAGGACAUCCUAAUGGUGCAGCCGCUAUUAAGGGUUCGUUUGUUCAACGAUUAAAGUCCUACGUGAUCUGAGUUCAGACCGGAGUAAUCCAGGUCAGUUUCUAUCUGUAACGCUACUUUUCCUAGUACGAAAGGAUCGGAAAAGGGGGGCCCAUACUUAAAGCACGCCCCACCCCUAAUUAAUGAAAACAAAUAAAUUAAAUAAAGGGAGGGCCAAAACCCUAACUACCCAAAAUAAGGACAU